GAUAGAGAAUUAAAUUCUAUUUGCAACAUUUCAGACAUAUCUUAAAGUAAGGCUAAGUACGCCAAAAGUCCCUGAAUUUACUCUCAGAGAAUGGUCAAAACGAGAAUUCAUUAAUACGCGUGCAGUAUUAAAGAUUGCUCCACAGUUCCACAGCCCACUUGAGCAGCGAACCAACCAUAGGCCUAUUCCGAUCUCCGAA